CCUACGGGUGGCUGCAGUGGGGGAUAUUGGACAAUGGGGGGAACCCUGAUCCAGCGACGCCGCGUGAGUGAAGAAGUAUUUCGGUAUGUAAAGCUCUGUCAGCAGGGAAGAAAGCAAUGACGGUACCUGACCAAGAAGCCCCGGCUAACUACGUGCCAGCAGCCGCGGUAAUACGUAGGGGGCAAGCGUUAUCCGGAAUUACUGGGUGUAAAGCGCUCGUAGGCGGUAUGUCAAGUCAAGGGUGAAAUCCCCGCGCUCAACGUGGGAACUGCCUUUGAAACUGGCAAACUGGAGUGUGUGAGAGGAUAGUGGAAUUCCAGGUGUAGGAGUGAAAUCCGUAGAUAUCUGGAGGAACAUCAGUGGCGAAGGCGACUAUCUGGCACAUAACUGACGCUGAGGAGCGAAAGCGUGGGUAGCAAACAGGAUUAGAUACCCGGGUAGUC
rnacentral:rRNA from 1 species